rnacentral:tRNA from 1 species
GCGCAUCUGGCGCAGGUCCAGCAUGCGGGCGUCUUCCAGCGAUGCCAUGGCCUCGUCGAUAUUCGCAGCCUUCGGAUAGAAGCCGGUGGUCCGCGCCA